AACGCACAUUGCGCCCCUUGGUAUUCCAUGGGGCAUGCUUGUUCGAGCGUCAUUUGUACCCUCAAGCUUUGCUUGGUGUUGGGCGGUUGUCCUUUCCUCUGCGUUGGGACUCGCCUUAAAGUCAUUGGCAGCCAGUGUAUUGGUUUGAAGCGCAGCACAAUUUGCGGCUCGAACUGAUAAUUGCUCGCGUCCAUCAAGUACAAUUAACACUUUUGACCUCGGAUCAAGUAGGGAUACCCGCUGAACUUAA
rnacentral:misc_RNA from 1 species